rnacentral:rRNA from 1 species
GUCCAGACUCCUACGGGAGGCAGCAGUGGGGGAUAUUGCACAAUGGAGGAAACCCUGAUGCAGCGACGCCGCGUGAGUGAAGAAGUAUUUCGGUACGUAAAGCUCUAUCAGCAGGGAAGAAAAAAAGUCCUUUGGACUUUGGACGGUACCUGACCAAGAAGCCCCGGCUAACUACGUGCCAGCAGCCGCGGUAAUACGUAGGGGGCAAGCGUUAUCCGGAUUUACUGGGUGUAAAGGGAGCGUAGACGGCAGCGCAAGUCUGGAGUGAAAUGCCGGGGCCCAACCCCGGAACUGCUUUGGAAACUGUGCAGCUGGAGUGCAGGAGGGGCAGGCGGAAUUCCUGGUGUAGCGGUGAAAUGCGUAGAUAUCAGGAGGAACACCGGUGGCGAAGGCGGCCUGCUGGACUGCGACUGACGUUGAGGCCCGAAAGCGUGGGGAGCAAACAGGAUUAGAUACCCGAGUAU